rnacentral:lncRNA from 1 species
ACAAAUGCUCAGACAGAGCAGAAGGUUCCCAACAGGCUGCGCCUGCGCUGGACCACCCCCUUUCCUCCUUCCUUCAGCUGCCCCUCUUUCUGGAUGGGUAAAAGCACUUCCAUGUUUUCAGAGGCGUGGAGGGAGCCCGAGAAGAGCAGAUGUUGACACCACCAUCACUGCCUGCAGCAGUGAGACCAGGGGCACAGUUUUUGUUGAAAGGGUCGACCAGGAAGCACUUCCUUGACUCUGUCCUAAAGCCUCUGGAGAGCCCUUAAAUUUGUGGUCCUUGAAGCUAUUGUAAAGGUAUUAUUCAGGAACAAGAUGGGCAAAACAUGAAUAGGACAAGCUUUCUGCUCUCCAGGGACUCCCUUGAAGAUGUGUCACAACCCCAAGCCAGUAUGGUGAGGACACAGCGAGGAGUAGGCUGUCUAUGAACCAGGAAGUGGGCCCUCACCAGACACAGAAUCUGCCAGCACCUCAAUUUGGACUUCCCAGACUCCAGAACUGCAAGAAAUUAAUUUCUAUUGCUCACAAGCCACCCAGUCUAUGGUAUUCUGUUACAGCAGCUGGAGCAAACUGAGACAGUACUUGACAGUGAUUUUCAUGAAGGUUCUCCCUUGCUCAUUUUUAAGCCCACUGGUUCAGACAGAAGCCUCUGGGAGAGCCCUCCAGAGUCCACCUUGAAGGCUUCAUUCCUUCUACCCAGAGCAUCUCCGUGGAGAGGAAGAAAAAGCAUCAACGAAAUGAGGUGCCCCAGCGGUUCUGGGGAGCAAUUCCUCUCUUCAUAUGACCAUUUGGGAAACCCCCAGUGAGAUGGAGUGUGCUUUUAAGCCAUGAAAACCAUGCACAUCAGCCCCACCACAGAGCCUGUGUGAUUUCAUCUUAGAUGGUAUCUUGGAAGCAAGACCUACCUGGACUUUUUAGAAAUCUAAUCUAAUCAUUUUCUGUCUUGGAGUAGAACUUUUAUCUGGCGGCACCAUCACCCUGGGAGACUCCAAAACAGAAAACCAGACAGACAGUGGUUACAAAAUAAAAGACCUGUGUUUGCAGAGGAGUAGUCGACUAUGUCAUUGUUAUUCCCAAAGAUGGAAGGCAGAAUCAUCAGAAAUUACAGUGACAGGGGUUCCUGCUCGGUAGUAUGCCGAAAAGGGAGUUGAAAGGCACAAGUGCGGACAAGAGGAUCAAUCAAAGCUCCGUUCUGUUCCCAAUCCUUCCAGUCCCGAUGCUCCAGAGAGCAGGGGAGGCACCUGUACACAGGUACUGGGCAUGACUGAUGAGGCAGUGCCCAGGAGCCCAACUUCCUCGAAGCGAGAGAAAGGACAGAGAUGCUAAGAUCUGCACACUUCCACAUUUUAGAGAAUUUGGGAGACCCAUGUUGGAUGUGGACCGUGGUUCUUAUUGGUAUUAUUUUCUGAGUGGUAGAUGUGCUUAAUCCCAGCACCUGCCUAAACUGAUGACAACAGCGGCUUUCCUACUGGAAGGACAUUGCCACUUGAUAGCAUAUGCUGUACCUCGCUUGCAUGUCCCUGCUUCCAAGCUUUGGGGAUUUCUAGGAUUGUUUUCUCCUAGUUUCCUUGUGUCACGUGGGCUCCUUUAUAAAAUAUCCCCAUAUAAUAGUGCAUGAUGUGCUCUAUUACAAAACACAAAUGUGUCUGUCCAAGACAGCCUGGGGGCAGCGAGCUGGGGCGUGGCAAGGAGACCAACUGGAAUGACGGGAGAGCCCUAGUGGAUGCACAGUGCACCGCUCUUACACCACAAGCCUCCCGCCCCAGCAUGAUUUAACCCGUGAAGAAAGCAGAGCAUUUAAUAUGUUCUACAGAUGUUUUAAAAAAGGAAUAACGGCGCUUGUCCCAAGUGUGGGAUGGAGGCACACACUCUUCUGAGAUGUGAAGCAAAUUUCAUAUCUCAAAAGAGAAAAAGGACAACAGUUCCUGCUCAGUCACCAAGUCUGAUUCUCAACCCUGGAACGCCUCAGCCUGCCUGAGCCCAGAAAUGAGGCUCCUUGUGAACACUAUGGAAAUGCAAUGGCUGUUUUGAUUUUCCAUAAUGGACAGCACACUGGUCCAGGAGGCAUAUCCAAUCUAAAUGAACUAGCAUCUGUGAAACUUCCUAGCACAGUCCCAGCACAUCGCAGGAGCUGAACUAAUGUUCUUUUCCCUUCCCAAGGAACCCUGAAGCCUUUGAAGGAACCGUGAUUGGGAAGGCAUCAGCAUUUGCUUUUCGCUGGUAUAAAUUUGGACCACUGGUCUGCCCGGGGUGUCCCCUGCCAGUGGUCGUGGACUGCUAGGGAAGCACAGCACACCCCCCAACACCCCCCCGCAAGGAAGACCCCUCAUUGCCCACCAAUGUCCUCUUUCUGGCGUCCCUCACGUUCCUGGCCGAGACCCUCCGUUCAGUCACGCCAUGAGGUCAGGGCCACGGUUGCCAUUGUCUGCUGGAAGCCAGUGCAGCACUUGGAGCUUAGAAGAUGCACACAACUCUUUGUUAAAGAACAAAGAAAUGGGAGAAACUUUUUAAAAGAAAAUAAACAGAGAGAAAGAGGGUGAGACGAAGACUGUGGCUGAGGCUUUGUUUUCAGGCCGAAAGCAGGACACUCAGCUCAUUCUCAAUGAAACUUCAACAUCGAUAAUUCAAAUGUCUUAGAAAUUGUACAUUGGAAGGGGAAAUAAAAUGAUUUUUCAGCUC